AGCAGCCGCGGUAAUUCCAGCUCCAAUAGCGUAUAUUAAAGUUGUUGCAGUUAAAAAAGCUCGUAGUUGAAUUUCGGGGUCAGUAGGUUGGUCGUGCCACUGGUAUGCACUGGCCUUACUGAUUCCUCCUUCUUGUAGAACCGUAAUGCCAUUAAUUUGGUGUUGCGGGGAAACAGGACUGUUACUUUGAAAAAAUUAGAGUGUUUAAAGCAGGCUAACGCUUGAAUACAUUAGCAUGGAAUAAUGAAAUAGGACGUUCGAUCCUAUUUUGUUGGUUUCUAGGAUUGACGUAAUGAUUAAUAGGGAUAGUUGGGGGCAUUAGUAUUCAAUUGUCAGAGGUGAAAUUCUUGGAUUUAUUGAAGACUAACUACUGCGAAAGCAUUUGCCAAGGAUGUUUUCAUUAAUCAAGAACGAAAGUUAGGGGAUCGAAGACGAUCAGAUACCGUCGUA
rnacentral:rRNA from 1 species